AAUGAACGCUAGCGGCAGGCUUAAUACAUGCAAGUCGAGGGACAGCACAGGUAGCAAUACUGGGUGGUAACCGGCAAACGGGUGCGGAACACGUACACAACCUUCCUUUAAGUGGGGGAUAGCCCAGAGAAAUUUGGAUUAAUACCCCGUAAUAUAGUUGAAUGGCAUCAUUUGAUUAUUAUAGCUGCGGCGCUUAAUGAUGGGUGUGCGGCUGAUUAGAUAGCUGGCGGGGUAACGGCCCACCAAGUCUACGAUCAGUAGCUGAUGUGAGAGCAUGAUCAGCCACACGGGCACUGAGACACGGGCCCGACUCCUACGGGAGGCAGCAGUAAGGAAUAUUGGUCAAUGGACGCAAGUCUGAACCAGCCAUGCCGCGUGAAGGAUUAAGGUCCUCUGGAUUGUAAACUUCUUUUAUUUGGGACGAAAAAGGGCCUUUCUAGGUCAACUGACGGUACCAGAUGAAUAAGCACCGGCUAACUCCGUGCCAGCCGCCGCGGUAACAC
rnacentral:rRNA from 1 species